UACAUGCUAAAAACCUCGACUUCGGAAGGGGUGUAUUUAUUAGAUAAAAAACCAAUGCCCUUCGGGGCUCCUUGGUGAUUCAUAAUAACUUAACGAAUCGCAUGGCCUUGCGCCGGCGAUGGUUCAUUCAAAUUUCUGCCCUAUCAACUUUCGAUGGUAGGAUAGUGGCCUACCAUGGUUUCAACGGGUAACGGGGUAUUAGGGUACUAUACCGGAGAGGGAGCCUGAGAAACGGCUACCACAUCCAAGGAAGGCAGCAGGCGCGCAAAUUACCCAAUCCCGACACGGGGAGGUAGUGACAAUAAAUACUGAUACAGGGCUCUUUUGGGUCUUGUAAUUGGAAUGAGUACAAUUUAAAUCCCUUAACGAGGAACAAUUGGAGGGCAAGUCUGGUGAAUCUCAGCUCUGCUGACGCCAGUGAGAGUGCUAAGCUAGUCCUACGGGGCGACACACCCAAUGUGCGGGGACGCCAUUCCAGGCAAUCCGCAGCUGACGGAAGGGCACCACCAGGAGUCAAGGUUUAGCUCCUAACAGUAGGCCUCUGGCCUGCUAGUCUCCCUGCGAGGCGACACGCUCAAUGUGCGGGAAGGCCCUUCACUGGGAAAUCCGCAGCCCACCUCUCUUACCCGGAGGUCGGUUCAGAGGCUCGAUGAGUGUGGGCUCAGCAUCCGCUGAGCUUAAGAUAGAGUCCGUCCCUGCUGGCAACGGCGGGGAGGUAACGGGAGCCUGCGGCUUAAUUUGACUCAACACGGGGAAACUCACCAGGUCCAGACACAAUAAGGAUUGACAGAUUGAGAGCUCUUUCUUGAUUUUGUGGGUGGUAAACGCCAUGUAUUGCCACCGAGAGCUGCGUGCAGCUAGUGGGCUCCGGCCUGCGAGACUUCCAAACUGCUGGAAAACGUCAGGAAACUGGCAAUCAGCAGCGCCCGCGUCAGGGUGUUCACAGACUAGAUAGAAGUCGAUCGCCCUCUGUGGCGGUUUGAGAUAUAGCCGAGCGUCCCCUAGCGAUGGGGGACAGACAUGCUGGGUGCA
rnacentral:rRNA from 1 species